AGUGAGCCCUCACUAGAUGCUGGCACUGUCCUCAGGGUCUUCCACAUGUGACUCUUUCCAUGCUUCAACCAGACGAUGAAGUGACUCUUGAGAACCUGCACCCAUGUCCUGGGCUCACAGAUCCGUGAGACUUCAAGGAAUUACAGCGUCUAACAGGAGACAAAAGAGACCGGGACACGACAGCACAGGAUGUUCACAUCCUGUAUGUGGACUGGUACAUAAUUCUUAACAAGGGACAGAAGGAGAUUAAACACCAUUUACCACCACAAAUGAAUCAGAUGAGGAGAGCGAGAUUCAGUGAGCUGGACCUUAUCCCAGACUCUGUUCUACGCGUCAAAAGCUGAAAUCCAAGCUCCUCCCACUACGGCUUAUGUCCGAGAACUCAG